CUUUUUUAUAAUGAUUGAAUUCACUAAAAUUAAAAAAUUAAACCUCCCUGUAGCUCUUUUGAAAAAGGAACUCAACUGUUUUGAACGAUAACACUUUGAAACUUUUUAAUAGAUUCAAUUUCAACACUUCACUCUACUGCUGUCCAAUUUUUUUUUUUUUAAAAAUUUUGGUUGUCGAACGUAACUAUUAUUGCCAUCACAAUUCUCUUUAUUUCAAAUAGCCUCAAAACUGUGCCGACUGUAGCCCUUUUUCUAGAGCAACGCUUUAUCGCUUUCGUACAGUGAAUUAAGUUGUUCAAUCUCGUUAUCUACGGAAACAUAACAAUCCCAAUCCAUAGAAAUAUAAUUAGGUAACAUUGAAAAAAGUAUGGUAUUUUAGAUUUGUUAUAAACAUACGUUUCCUGGCUUCAUUAAGCUUAAUAUCGGAAGAUUCUAAUGCAUAUUUCACAAUCAUCUAUUCAACUCCUAAGCGCUUAAAUUUCUUUCAAUAAUUAUUUUAUGCAACAGUUUGACUACAUCCAAAGAUGAUUCACAAGAUAGGACUCGGAAAGCUAAUGAUUUCUAUCUAGUUGGCGCUAAGCUUCGAUGAUGUUUGUGCUUCGUUCAGUACAAGGUAUUAUGGCAUAGUCGGGAAUGACCCAAAAUUAAAAAUCCAGAUGCAUGGUAUCCUACUAAUGUUGCUU